CGUCACACCAUGAGAGUUGGCAAUACCCAAAGUUCGUGAGCUAACCCGUAAGGAGGCAGCGACCUAAGGUAGGGUCAGCGAUUGGGGUGAAGUCGUAACAAGGUAGCCGUAGGAGAACCUGCGGCUGGAUCACCUCCUUUCUAUGGAGAAAUCUAGUUAACACGACGUUUAACUAGUAAUUAAAAUAUACUUACUUCGAAAAAGAAGGUUUAAUUUAAUGUAGAUUCUGUUCAAUUUUGAAAGACUAAGUCUUUCAAAAUGUUCUUUGAAAAUUGCACAUAGUAAAUUGUAUAUAAUACAACAAGCCAAGAAUAUAUUCUUUGUAUAAAUAAGAACUAUUCAUUAAUUGUUAAAAUUAAAUUAAUA
rnacentral:misc_RNA from 1 species